rnacentral:tRNA from 1 species
GGGCGGUUAGCUCAGUUGGUAGAGCUCUUGACUUACAUUCAAGAGGUCGUUGGUUCAAGUCCAGCACCGCCCACCA